rnacentral:tRNA from 1 species
UCCCUGGUGGCUCAGACGGUAAAGCAUCUGCCUAUAGUGCGGGAGACCCAGGUUCAAUCCCUGGGUCGGGAA